rnacentral:rRNA from 1 species
UACAGAGGUGGCAAGCGUUGUUCGGAAUUACUGGGCGUAAAGGGCGCGUAGGCGGCCCGUCAAGUCCCGUGUGAAAGCCCCCGGCUCAACCGGGGAACGGCGCGGGAAACUAGCAGGCUUGAGUUCGGGAGAGGGAAGCGGAAUUCCGGGUGUAGCGGUGAAAUGCGCAGAUAUCCGGAGGAACACCGGUGGCGAAGGCGGCUUCCUGGACCGACACUGACACUGAGGAGCGAAAGCGUGGGGAGCGAACAGG